GACACUGAGAAUUAGCUAAGCAGAGCAUGAAAAGAAGAUGGGACAUUUGUCAACAAAACUCUCCAGCUGGCUUCUUUUAUAUGGUGCACCUGUGUCUUGGAAAGUUCACAGUGCU